rnacentral:rRNA from 1 species
GGAGGGUGCAAGCGUUGUUCGGAAUUAUUGGGCGUAAAGGGGAGGUAGGUGGUCUUGUUUGUCUAAGGUGAAAUCCCGGGGCUCAACCCCGGAAGUGCCUUGGAAACGGCAAGACUAGAGUUCUGGAGAGGGUUGUGGAAUUCCCGGUGUAGCGGUGAAAUGCGUAGAGAUCGGGAGGAACACCAGAGGCGAAGGCGGCAACCUGGACAGAUACUGACACUAAACUCCGAAAGCGUGGGAGCAAACAGGAUUAGAUACCCUGGUAGUCCACGCCGUAAACGAUGGGUACUUGAUUUAGCGGGACUUGACCCCUGCUGAGUCGGAGCUAACGCGUUAAGUACCCCGCCCUGGGGAGUACGGUCGCAAGACUA